CCGGCAACGGAGGCCCCGCCCCAGAGCCGUUGAUAUUCCCUCCCCUUCCGCCUCUAUCGCCGUCGCGCAGUGAUGUCAUGACGUAGACGUUAGCGAUAAAGGGGUUGCAGGAUCCAGAUGACAGAAGCCAGCGAUGAACACUGACCGUGGACGACAGAUGAAAUAGACAGACGUGGCCUUCAGGGGAACUCCCUACACACUGGCGGAGUGCCUCCUCCAGAUAAAGACGCGACCAAGGAGGAGCAAGGAGGACAUGUUUCAAGAGGUGCUCCAAUCUUCAGAAGUCGAAAGACAAGAACAUAGGGUGUGGAGAGCGACUUUAAAGGAAAAUUAUAAAAUAGAAGGCAGAACAGAAAGGAGAGCUAGGAGUGAAUUUUAAUGGGCCAGGAGCAGAUGAUAAAAGCAAUGGAGGAGCAAGCAGAGAUGUUGAAGUCCUUAAUCACACUGCAGGCUGAAUUAAUGCAUGCUCAGCCAAUACAGAACUGCUUUCCGUGCCCGCCCCAAACUCCUCCCACACAUUCCUUGCAACUUCCCAGCCCGUCUCAGUACUCCCUUCACUCCACCCCUUUGGACAGCUUCCAAAAUGAUAGCUGGAUUUACACACAGCUCUGAGAACCUAUGCUGCCCUUCAUUAUCAUCUCCCUUCCCACCAAGCCUUUUGUGUGUGUUGUUAAUUGGUAUUUAAUAAAGAAAAGCACUCUCUGAAAGAUAACCAAUCUUUGUCUCUUACACAUGGUGGUUGCUAUUGGAAUGAAUACAAAGUGGUAAUUUGAUCAUUUGCUGAGUACAAAUCACGGUCAGGAAUCAA